rnacentral:rRNA from 1 species
AUUGAACGCUGGCGGCAGGCCUAACACAUGCAAGUCGAGCGGAUGAAGGGAGCUUGCUCCUGGAUUCAGCGGCGGACGGGUGAGUAAUGCCUAGGAAUCUGCCUGGUAGUGGGGGAUAACGUCCGGACACGGGCGCUAAUACCGCAUACGUUCUGAGGGAGAAAGUGGGGGUUCUUCGGACCUCACGCUAUCAGAUGAGCCUAGGUCGGAUUAGCUAGUUGGUGGGGUAAAGGCCUACCAAGGCGACGAUCCGUAACUGAUCUGAGAGGAUGAUCAGUCACACUGGAACUGAGACACGGUCCAGACUCCUACGGGAGGCAGCAGUGGGGAAUAUUGGACAAUGGGCGAAAGCCUGAUCCAGCCAUGCCGCGUGUGUGAAGAAGGUCUUCGGAUUGUAAAGCACUGUAAGUUGGGAGGAAGGGAAGUAAGUUAAUACCUUGAUGUUUUGACGUUACCAACAGAAUAAGCACCGGCUAACUACGUG